ACAAACACUCAAAAUGAAAGACAUUUAUUGAUCCUUUCGGGAAUUCAUCUUGCACCACACAGCUCAUCUGACAGAAAGACAGACAGACAACACACAACAACAC